CAAUAGCGUAUAUUAAAGUUGUUGCAGUUAAAAAGCUCGUAGUUGGAUUUCUGGUGGGAGCGAUCGGUCUGGCGCUUAGCGCGAGUACUUGCAUCGUCUCCGGCCAUCCUUGGGGAAAGUCUGUCUGGCAUUAAGUUGUCGGGCAGAGGAUCCUCAUCGUUUACUGUGAAAAAAUUAGAGUGUUCAAAGCAGGCUUAUGCCGUUGAAUAUAUUAGCAUGGAAUAAUAAGAUAGGACUUUGGUACUAUUUUGUUGGUUUGCGCACCAAAGUAAUGAUUAAUAGGGACAGUUGGGGGUAUUCGUAUUCCGUUGACAGAGGUGAAAUUCUUGGAUUUACGGAAGACGAACUACUGCGAAAGCAUUUACCAAGGAUGUUUUCAUUAA
rnacentral:rRNA from 1 species